rnacentral:rRNA from 1 species
GAUUAACGCUGGCGGCAUGCAUAACACAUGCAAGUCGAAUGUUGCAGCAAUGUAAACAUGGCAGACGGCUGAGUAACGCGUGGGAACGUACCCUCGAGUCGGGCAUAACUCUGCGAAAGCAGAGAUAAUUCCCGAUAUUCUCGCAAGAGAAAAGAUUUAUCGCUUGAGGAGCGGCCUGCGUCUGAUUAGCUUGUUGGUGGGGUAAAGGCCUACCAAGGCGAUGAUCAGUAGCUGGUUUGAGAGGAUGACCAGCCAGACUGGGACUGAGACACGGCCCAGACUCCUACGGGAGGCAGCAGUGAGGAAUUUUGCACAAUGGGCGAAAGCCUGAUGCAGCAAUGCCGCGUGAGGGAUGACAGCCUUCGGGUUGUAAACCUCUUUUAUAAAGGAAGAUUAUGACGGUACUUUAUGAAUAAGAGACUGCUAACUACGUGCCAGCAGCAGCGGUAAUACGUAGGUCUCAAGCGUUAUCCGGAUUUAUUGGGCGUAAAGGGUUCGUAGGCGGAUUGUUAAGUCUGAUAUUAAAGCUCAAGGCUCAACCUUGAAUCUGUAUUGGAAACUGGCAAUCUUGAGAGUGGGAGAGGCAGAUGGAACUCUUGGUGUAGGAGUAAAAUCCGUUGAUAUCAAGAGGAACGCCAAAUGCGAAGGCAAUCUGCUGGCCCAACUCUGACGCUCAGGAACGAAAGCGUGGGGAGCGACCGGGAUUAGAUACCCCGUUAGUCCACGCCGUAAACGAUGGGUGCUAGGCAUUGGAGUGUUCGACCCCUUCAGUGCCGCAGCUAACGCGUUAAGCACCCCGCCUGGGGAGUACGGUCGCAAGAUUAAAACUCAAAGGAAUUGACGGGGACCCGCACAAGCGGUGGAGCGUGUGGUUUAAUUCGAUGGUAAGCGGAGAACCUCACCAGGACUUGACAUCCUACUGAAAGCCACUGGAAACAGAGGCCCUCUUCGGACAGUAGAGACAGGUGCUGCACGGUUGUCGUCAGCUCGUGCCGUGAGGCGUUCCGUUAAGUCGGGUAACGAGCGCAACCCUUAUUGCUAGUUGUAUUUUUCUAGCGAGACUGCCGCGGUUAACGCGGAGGAAGGUGGGGAUGACGUCAAAUCAGCGUGGCCCUUAUGUCCUGGGCGACACACGCGCUACAAUGGCCGGUACAAUGGGUUGCCAAAUCGCGAGAUGGAGCUAAUCCCAAAAAACCGGCCCCAGUUCGGAUUGGAGUCUGCAACUCGACUCCAUGAAGCCGGAAUCGCUAGUAAACGCGAAUCAGCCACGUCGCGUUGAAUACGUUCUCGGGUCUUGUACACACCGCCCGUCACACCACGAAAGCCAGGGGCGCCCGAAAUUCCAACUUGCUUGGGCCUAAGGUGAAACUGGUGAUUGGGGUG